rnacentral:rRNA from 1 species
UAGCUUGCUAUUUUUAUGAAGAGCGGCGAACGGGUGAGUAACGCGUGGGAAAUCUGCCGAGUAGCGGGGGACAACGUUUGGAAACGAACGCUAAUACCGCAUAACAAUGAGAAUCGCAUGAUUCUUAUUUAAAAGAAGCAAUUGCUUCACUACUUGAUGAUCCCGCGUUGUAUUAGCUAGUUGGUAGUGUAAAGGACUACCAAGGCGAUGAUACAUAGCCGACCUGAGAGGGUGAUCGGCCACACUGGGACUGAGACACGGCCCAGACUCCUACGGGAGGCAGCAGUAGGGAAUCUUCGGCAAUGGGGGCAACCCUGACCGAGCAACGCCGCGUGAGUGAAGAAGGUUUUCGGAUCGUAAAACUCUGUUGUUAGAGAAGAACGUUAAGUAGAGUGGAAAAUUACUUAAGUGACGGUAUCUAACCAGAAAGGGACGGCUAACUACGUGCCAGCAGCCGCGGUAAUACGUAGGUCCCAAGCGUUGUCCGGAUUUAUUGGGCGUAAAGCGAGCGCAGGUGGUUUCUUAAGUCUGAUGUAAAAGGCAGUGGCUCAACCAUUGUGUGCAUUGGAAACUG